rnacentral:misc_RNA from 1 species
GAUGAAGAACGUAGCAAAAUGCGAUAAGUAAUGUGAAUUGCAGAAUUCAGUGAAUCAUCGAAUCUUUGAACGCACAUUGCGCCCGCUGGUAUUCCGGCGGGCAUGCCUGUUCGGGCGUCAUUUCAACCCUCAAGCCCCCGGGUUUGGUGUUGGGGAUCGGCUCUGCCCUUCUGGGCGGUGCCGCCCCCGAAAUACAUUGGCGGUCUCGCUGCAGCCUCCAUUGCGUAGUAGCUAACACCUCGCAACUGGAACGCGGCGCGGCCAUGCCGUAAAACCCCAACUUCUGAAUGUUGACCUCGGAUCAGGUAGGAAUACCCGCUGAACUUAAGCAUAUCAAUAAGCGGAGGA